rnacentral:rRNA from 1 species
CCUACGGGAGGCAGCAGUGAGGAAUAUUGGUCAAUGGACGCAAGUCUGAACCAGCCAUGCCGCGUGCAGGAAGACGGCUCUAUGAGUUGUAAACUGCUUUUGUACGAGGGUAAAUCCCGAUACGUGUAUCGGGUUUAAAGUAUCGUACGAAUAAGGAUCGGCUAACUCCGUGACAGCAGCCGCGGUAAUACGGAGGAUUCAAGCGUUAUCCGGAUUUAUUGGGUUUAAAGGGUGCGUAGGCGGUUCGAUAAGUUAGAGGUGAAAUCCCGGGGCUCAACUCCGGCACUGCCUCUGAUACUGUAGGGCUAGAGGUUAGUCGCGGUAGGCGGAAUGUAUGGUGUAGCGGUGAAAUGCAUAGAGAUCAUACAGAACACCGAUUGCGAAGGCAGCUUACCAAACUACGACUGACGUUGAGGCACGAAAGCGUGGGGAGCAAACAGGAUUAGAUACCCUUGUAGUC